rnacentral:rRNA from 1 species
GAUGAACGCUGGCGGCGUGCCUAAUACAUGCAAGUCGAGCGAACAGACGAGGAGCUUGCUCCUCUGACGUUAGCGGCGGACGGGUGAGUAACACGUGGAUAACCUACCUAUAAGACUGGGAUAACUUCGGGAAACCGGAGCUAAUACCGGAUAAUAUAUUGAACCGCAUGGUUCAAUAGUGAAAGACGGUUUUGCUGUCACUUAUAGAUGGAUCCGCGCCGCAUUAGCUAGUUGGUAAGGUAACGGCUUACCAAGGCAACGAUGCGUAGCCGACCUGAGAGGGUGAUCGGCCACACUGGAACUGAGACACGGUCGAGACUCCUACGGGAGGCAGCAGUAGGGAAUCUUCCGCAAAGGGCGAAAGCCUGACGGAGCAACGCCGCGUGAGUGAUGAAGGUCUUCGGAUCGUAAAACUCUGUUAUUAGGGAAGAACAAAUGUGUAAGUAACUAUGCACGUCUUGACGGUACCUAAUCAGAAAGCCACGGCUAACUACGUG